AGUGAACGCUGGCGGUAGGCCUAACACAUGCAAGUCGAACGGCAGCACAGUAAGAGCUUGCUCUUACGGGUGGCGAGUGGCGGACGGGUGAGGAAUACAUCGGAAUCUACUUUUUCGUGGGGGAUAACGUAGGGAAACUUACGCUAAUACCGCAUACGACCUACGGGUGAAAGCAGGGGAUCUUCGGACCUUGCGCGAUUGAAUGAGCCGAUGUCGGAUUAGCUAGUUGGCGGGGUAAAGGCCCACCAAGGCGACGAUCCGUAGCUGGUCUGAGAGGAUGAUCAGCCACACUGGAACUGAGACACGGUCCAGACUCGUACGGGAGGCAGCAGUGGGGAAUGUUGGACAAUGGGCGCAAGCCUGAUCCAGCCAUACCGCGUGGGGGAAGAAGGCCUUCGGGUUGUAAAGCCCUUUUGUUGGGAAAGAAAAGCAGCAGGUUAAUACCCCGCUGUUCUGACGGUACCCAAAGAAUAAGCACCGGCUAACUUCGU
rnacentral:rRNA from 1 species